rnacentral:rRNA from 1 species
AGAUUGAACGCUGGCGGCAGGCCUAACACAUGCAAGUCGAGCGGUAGAGAGGUGCUUGCACCUCUUGAGAGCGGCGGACGGGUGAGUAAAGCCUAGGAAUCUGCCUGGUAGUGGGGGGAUAACGCUCGGAAACGGACGCUAAUACCGUAUACGUCCUACGGGAGAAAGCAGGGGACCUUCGGGCCUUGCGCUAUCAGAUGAGCCUAGGUCGGAUUAGCUAGUUGGUGGGGUAAUGGCUCACCGAGGCGACGAUCCGUAACUGGUCUGAGAGGAUGAUCAGUCACACUGGAACUGAGACACGGUCCAGACUCCUACGGGAGGCAGCAGUGGGAAUAUGGACAAUGGGCGAAAGCCUGAUCCAGCCAUGCCGCGUGUGAAGAAGGUCCUCGGAUUGUAAAAGCAACUUUAAGGUUAGGAGGAAGGCAAGUUACCUAAAUACGUAUCUUGUUUGACGUUACCGACAGAAUAAAGCACCGCUAACUCUGUGCCAGCAGUCCGA